GUGCCAGCUGCCGCGGUAAUACGGAGGAUUCGAGCGUUAUCCGGAUUUAUUGGGUUUAAAGGGUGCGUAGGCGGACCAAUAAGUCAGUGGUGAAAUACAUCAGCUUAACUGAUGCACUGCCAUUGAUACUGUUGGACUAGAAUAUAAAUGGUGCAGGCGGAAUUAAUCAUGUAGAGGUGACAUUCAUAGAUAAGAUUCAGAACACCGAUCGCGAAUGCAGAUUGCUAAGA
rnacentral:rRNA from 1 species